AUACGUAGGUGGCAAGCGUUGUCCGGAUUUAUUGGGCGUAAAGCGAGCGCAGGCGGUUUCUUAAGUCUGAUGUGAAAGCCCUCGGCUCAACCGAGGAAGGUCAUUGGAAACUGGGGAACUUGAAUGCAGAAGAGGAGAGUGGAAUUCCAUGUGUAGCGGUGAAAUGCGUAGAUAUAUGGAGGAACACCAGUGGCGAAGGCGACUCUCUGGUCUGUAAUUGACGCUGAGGCUCGAAAGCGUGGGGAGC
rnacentral:rRNA from 1 species